rnacentral:lncRNA from 1 species
UAAUAUAACUCAAUUAUUAAAUAUAUUAAAAUAGACUAAACAUACCGAUGGUAUAAAUCCAAAUCCAGAUUAUUUAAUUAAUGAUCUAGAUCGAUUAAUCCAUUUAUAGCAAAUCAUUUGCACGCUGGGUUGACGGAUCAGUAUAUAAAAAUAGAUUCUCAAUGAAAUUAGAUGGGCAAUGAAUGGAAGCCAGGAAACCCCAUGCAUAUGCAAGGCAAAGUCGGGGUGCAGGGAUGC